AGAGUUUGAUCCUGGCUCAGGAUGAACGCUGGCGGCGUGCCUAAUACAUGCAAGUCGAGCGAACGGACGAGAAGCUUGCUUCUCUGAUGUUAGCGGCGGACGGGUGAGUAACACGUGGAUAACCUACCUAUAAGACUGGGAUAACUUCGGGAAACCGGAGCUAAUACCGGAUAAUAUUUUGGACCGCAUGGUUCAAAAGUGAAAGACGGUCUUGCUGUCACUUAUAGAUGGAUCCGCGCUGCAUUAGCUAGUUGGUAAGGUAACGGCUUACCAAGGCAACGAUGCAUAGCCGACCUGAGAGGGUGAUCGGCCACACUUGAACUGAGACACGGUCCAGACUCCUACGGGAGGCAGCAGUAGGGAAUCUUCCGCAAUGGGCGAAAGCCUGACGGAGCAACGCCGCGUGAGUGAUGAAGGUCUUCGGAUCGUAAAACUCUGUUAUUAGGGAAGAACAUAUGUGUAAGUAACUGUGCACAUCUUGACGGUACCUAAUCAGAAAGCCACGGCUAACUACGUGCCAGCAGCCGCGGUAAUACGUAGGUGGCAAGCGUUAUCCGGAAUUAUUGGGCGUAAAGCGCGCGUAGGCGGUUUUUUAAGUCUGACGUGAAAGCCCACGGCUCAACCGUGGAGGGUCAUUGGAAACUGGAAAACUUGAGUGCAGAAGAGGAAAGUGGAAUUCCAUGUGUAGCGGUGAAAUACGCAGAGAUAUGGAGGAACACCAGUGGCGAAGGCGACUUUCUGGUCUGUAACUGACGCUGAUGUGCGAAAGCGUGGGGAUCAAACAGGAUUAGAUACCC
rnacentral:rRNA from 1 species